rnacentral:lncRNA from 1 species
GAGUGCCUGGAGCCUGUUCAGAGGGAUUUGUACAGAGAUGUGAUGUUGGAGAACUCCAGCCACCUGGUCUUGCCAUGUCCAAACCUGAUGUGAUAUCCAUCCUAGAGCAAGGUAAUGAGCCCUGGGUACAGGAAAGGGCCACAGCAGUAGUGCUGGGUUCAGCAUUGGAGUCUGGAUGUGGUACCAAGAUAACGCCCUCCAAGCAACGCACUCAUGAGGAGGACUCCCCACAGUGGGCGACAACAGAAAGCCUUCCAAGCUGCAGUCUUGAGAGCGCAAGUCUCUGAAAUGACUGGGAAGGCAAAGGCCUAUUUGAUAGACAAGCAGGCAAUCCAGCCA